rnacentral:tRNA from 2 species
UAUAAAGAAGUUUAUGACGUUUGAUUUCCAAUCAAGAGUAGCUAUAUUU